rnacentral:pre_miRNA from 15 species
UUCUUUGGUGAUCUAGUUGUAUGAGUGUUUUAUAUAUCAUAAAGCUGGUUCAGCAAAGCA